rnacentral:rRNA from 1 species
GUGAACGCUGGCGGUAGGCCUAACACCUGCAAGUCGAACGGCAGCACAGUAAGAGCUUGCUCUUACGGGUGGCGAGUGGCGGACGGGUGAGGAAUACAUCGGAAUCUACUUUUUCGUGGGGGAUAACGUAGGGAAACUUACGCUAAUACCGCAUACGACCUACGGGUGAAAGCAGGGGAUCUUCGGACCUUGCGCGAUUGAAUGAGCCGAUGUCGGAUUAGCUAGUUGGCGGGGUAAGGGCCCACCAAGGCGACGAUCCGUAGCUGGUCUGAGAGGAUGAUCAGCCACACUGGAACUGAGACACGGUCCAGACUCCUACGGGAGGCAGCAGUGGGGAAUAUUGGACAAUGGGCGCAAGCCUGAUCCAGCCAUACCGCGUGGGUGAAGAAGGCCUUCGGGUUGUAAAGCCCUUUUGUUGGGAAAGAAAAGCAGCAGGUUAAUACCCCGCUGUUCUGACGGUACCCAAAGAAUAAGCACCGGCUAACUUCGUG